GGGGAGAUGGCAGAGCGGUCAAAUGCACCAGACUGUAAAUCUGGCGGCGCAAGCCUACGGUGGUUCAAAUCCAUCUCUCCCCACAA
rnacentral:tRNA from 1 species